ensembl:lncRNA
GGCUCAGCCUCCUCCUGGAGUCCUAGACCGGGCACCGUGGGGCCGCUGGUGGGGGGGAGGGGAGGGGAGAGAUAUUGUUUGUGAAGUAAGAGAGCCCCGGGCGGUAACAGCUCCCUUCACAUUUUCGAGACCCUGUGUGCCUGUGGCUCGCUCAAUCCUCACUAACACGUUUGGGAAUGGAUUCCCGGAACACUUUGCGGUCACGAUCGCGUGUGGUCCUCGGAACAGCCCUGGGAGGCAGGCGUAUCAUCAUCCCUGUUUUACACAGGAGAAAUUGGAGGCGGGAGUUGCCCAGAGUCACACAAUUAAGAACAAAUUCGAACGCAGAUCUUGAUGACUGACCAGAAGUCUGGAGUGAGAAUUAUGCUUUUUGUCAAGGGAUCUCUCUCGUUAACAUCGCUGCCUACCAGGACUCUUGCCCUCUGUGAUGCUAUUCUCUUCUCAGUGAUGAGCCUUUUAUUUCUCUGCUAGGGCCUCUUGCCAUUCUGCCUUCCUAGCAAAGCUGACUUCUCAAUGCCAAUAAAACUAACUUUUUUGCCACUAAUAUUUCGGGUUCAUGAAUUCUUUCACUUUGGACCUGUGCCUCUGACCAAAAAGGGGAUUCCCACA